rnacentral:rRNA from 1 species
GAUGAACGCUGGCGGCGUGCCUAAUACAUGCAAGUCGAGCGAACAGAUAAGGAGCUUGCUCCUUUGACGUUAGCGGCGGACGGGUGAGUAACACGUGGGUAACCUACCUAUAAGACUGGGAUAACUUCGGGAAACCGGAGCUAAUACCGGAUAAUAUUUCGAACCGCAUGGUUCGAUAGUGGAAGAUGGUUUUGCUAUCACUUAUAGAUGGACCCGCGCCGUAUUAGCUAGUUGGUAAGGUAACGGCUUACCAAGGCGACGAUACGUAGCCGACCUGAGAGGGUGAUCGGCCAUACUGGAACUGAGACACGGUCCAGACUCCUACGGGAGGCAGCAGUAGGGAAUCUUCCGCAAUGGGCGAAAGCCUGACGGAGCAACGCCGCGUGAGUGAUGAAGGUCUUCGGAUCGUAAAACUCUGUUAUUAGGGAAGAACAUACGUGUAAGUAACUGUGCACGUCUUGACGGUACCUAAUCAGAAAGCCACGGCUAACUACGUG